rnacentral:tRNA from 1 species
AGCCUUGUAUUCAUUUUGUGAUUAUAGAAUGCAAUUCUGUAGGGGUGAGUCGAAUAAUGACUUACCAAGGCCU